rnacentral:rRNA from 1 species
CACGUAGGGGGCAAGCGUUGUCCGGAUUUAUUGGGCGUAAAGAACUCGUAGGCGGUUCGCUAAGUCGGGUGUGAAACCUCCAGGCUCAACCUGGAGACGCCACCUGAUACUGGUGUGACUCGAGUCCGGUAGGGGAGCGUGGAAUUCCUGGUGUAGCGGUGAAAUGCGCAGAUAUCAGGAGGAACACCAGCGGCGAAGGCGGCGCUCUGGGCCGGAACUGACGCUGAGGAGCGAAAGCGUGGGUAGCAAACAGG